GCGAUCAUACUAGCACUAAUGCACCAGAUCCUCAUCAGAACUCCGAAGUUAAGCGUAUUUGAGAAAGAGUAGUACUAGGAUGGGUGACCCCCUGGGAAGUCCUCGUGUUGCACCU
rnacentral:rRNA from 1 species